AGAUUGAACGCUGGCGGCAGGCCUAACACAUGCAAGUCGAGCGGCAGCACGGGUACUUGUACCUGGUGGCGAGCGGCGGACGGGUGAGUAAUGCCUAGGAGUCUGCCUGGUAGUGGGGGAUAACGCUCGGAAACGGACGCUAAUACCGCAUACGUCCUACGGGAGAAAGCAGGGGGACCUUCGGGACUCGUCG
rnacentral:rRNA from 1 species